rnacentral:tRNA from 1 species
GCAUUGGUGGUUCGAUGGUAGAAUUCUUCCAUGCAGGAGGCCUGGGUUCAAUUCCUGGCCAAGGUA